UCUUCAUUUCACAUACACUCUCACCAGUCGGAGAGGCGAGAGAGUGUGUGAAAUGAAGAGA
rfam:Pristionchus pacificus strain PS312 contig3076, whole genome shotgun sequence.